AAGGUCUGUGCCUCAGUAAUAGAGCAUCCGCUUGACAUGCAGAAAGUCCCAGGUUCAAUCCCUGCCAACUUCA
rnacentral:tRNA from 1 species